rnacentral:tRNA from 1 species
AAGAUUUUAAGUUAAACAUAAACUAUUAAUUUUCAAAAUUAAAUUUAAAGUAACUUUCUUUAAGUCUUA